rnacentral:tRNA from 1 species
GCCUCGAUAGCUCAGUCGGUAGAGCAGGGGACUGAAAAUCCCCGUGUCGGUGGUUCAAUUCCGCCUCGAGGCA